ensembl:snoRNA SNORD42 Small nucleolar RNA SNORD42
GCACAAUGAUGGAAACAAACUAUUUAGAAGAGAAUGAUAUGAACAAAGGAACCACUGAUGUGC